rnacentral:rRNA from 1 species
GAUGAACGCUGGCGGCGUGCCUAAUACAUGCAAGUCGAGCGCGAAGAUCAGGAGCUUGCUCCUGAGAUUCGAGCGGCGGACGGGUGAGUAACACGUAGGCAACCUACCCUUGAGAUUGGGAUAACUACCGGAAACGGUAGCUAAUACCGGAUACGACAUUCCUGCAUAAGUAAGAAUGUUAAAAGGCGGAUUUAUCUGCCGCUCAUGGGUGGGCCUGCGGUGCAUUAGCUAGUUGGUGAGAUAGUAGCUCACCAAGGCGACGAUGCAUAGCCGACCUGAGAGGGUGAUCGGCCACACUGGGACUGAGACACGGCCCAGACUCCUACGGGAGGCAGCAGUAGGGAAUCUUCCGCAAUGGACGCAAGUCUGACGGAGCAACGCCGCGUGAGUGAUGAAGGGUUUCGGCUCGUAAAACUCUGUUGUUAAGGAAGAACACUUGAGGUAGUAACUGGCCUUGAGAUGACGGUACUAACCAGAA